rnacentral:rRNA from 1 species
AUUGAACGCUGGCGGCAGGCUUAACACAUGCAAGUCGAGCGAGCGGCGGACGGGUGAGCAAUGUCUGGGAAACUGCCUGAUGGAGGGGGAUCACUACCGGAAACGGUAGCCAAUACCGCAUACCAUAAGAUGUGCCCAGGUGGGAUGAGGGAGGAGGUGGGGUAAUGGUUCACCUAGGCGACUAUCCCUAACUGGUCUGAGAGGAUGACCAGCCACACUGGAACUGAGACACGGUCCAGACUCCGACGGGAGGCAGCAGUGGGGAAUAUUGGACAAUGGGCGAAAGCCUGAUGCAGCCAUGCCGCGUGUGUGAAGAAGGCCGUCGGGUUGUAAAGCACUUUCAGCGGGGAGGCGUUACUCGCAGAAUAAGCACCGGCUAACUCCGUGCCAGCAGCCGCGGUAAUUC